rnacentral:rRNA from 1 species
GUGUCAGCAGCCGCGGUAACACGUAGGACGCAAGCGUUAUCCGGAAUUACUGGGCGUAAAGAGCGUGUAGGCGGUGCUGUAAGUCAACCGUGAAAGCUCCCGGCUAAACUGGGAGAGGUCGGAUGAGACUGCAGCGCUAGUGGGUCGUAGAGGAAUGUGGAAUUCCGGGUGUAGUGGUGAAAUGCGUAGAGAUCCGGAGGAACACCAGAGGCGAAGGCGGCAUUCUGGACGACAUCAGACGCUGAGACGCGACAGCACGGGGAGCGAACGGGAUUAGAAACCCUCGUAGUCC